rnacentral:rRNA from 1 species
AAUAGAUACCCUGGUAGUCCACGCCGUAAACGAUGAGUGCUAAGUGUUAGAGGGUUUCCGCCCUUUAGUGCUGCAGCUAACGCAUUAAGCACUCCGCCUGGGGAGUACGGUCGCAAGACUGAAACUCAAAGGAAUUGACGGGGGCCCGCACAAGCGGUGGAGCAUGUGGUUUAAUUCGAAGCAACGCGGAGAACCUUACCAGGUCUUGACAUCCUCUGACAACUCUAGAGAUAGAGUGUUCCCCUUCGGGGGACAGAGUGACAGGUGGUGCAUGGUUGUCGUCAGCUCGUGUCGUGAGAUGUUGGGUUAAGUCCCGCAACGAGCGCAACCCUUGAUCUUAGUUGCCAGCAUUUAGUUGGGCACUCUAAGGUGACUGCCGGUGACAAACCGGAGGAAGGUGGGGAUGACGUCAAAUCAUCAUGCCCCUUAUGACCUGGGCUACACACGUGCUACAAUGGAUGGUACAAAGGGCUGCAAGACCGCGAGGUCAAGCCAAUCCCAUAAAACCAUUCUCAGUUCGGAUUGU